rnacentral:rRNA from 1 species
UGAAUACGAGAUGCUACGGCGUCGAAGCAGUGUAUGUCAGACUUCCAAGAAAAGCUCGCAAUGUCAUAAAUAAAGAAUGCCUGUACCAUAACCGACACAGGUGGGUAGGUAGAGUAUACUAAGGGGCGCGAGAUAACUCUCUCUAAGGAACUCGGCAAAAUAACUCCGUAACUUCGGGAGAAGGAGUGCCUUCUUUAAGAAGGUUGCAAUAACAAGAUCCAAGCAACUGUUUAUCAAAAACACAGGUCUCCGCUAAGUCGUAAGACGAUGUAUGGGGGCUGACGCCUGCCCAGUGCCAGAAGGUUAAAGAAGUUGGUUAGCUUUUGCGAAGCUGAUGACUGAAGCCCUGGUGAACGGCGGCCGUAACUAUAACGGUCCUAAGGUAGCGAAAUUCCUUGUCGGGUAAGUUCCGACCCGCACGAAAGGCGUAAUGAUUUGGAUACUGUCUCGGAGAGGGACUCGGUGAAAUAGACUUGUCUGUGAAGAUGCGGACUACCUGCACCAGGACAGAAAGACCCUAUGAAGCUUUACUGUAACUUGAAAUUGAAAUUGGACUUUAUUUGCGCAGUAUAGGUGGAAGGCGUUGAAAGUAAUCUUGCGGGAUUAGUGGAGCCAUCAGUGAGAUACCACUCCUAUAAUGUUAGAUUUCUAACUUUGGAUCAUGAUCUGGUCAAAGAACAGUUUCAGGCGGGCAGUUUGACUGGGGCGGUCGCCUCCCAAAUGGUAACGGAGGCGUACAAAGGUUUCCUCUGAACGGGUAGAAAUCGUAUCUAGAGUGUAAAGGCAUAAGGAAGCUUGACUGUGAGACCUACAAGUCGAGCAGGGACGAAAGUCGGUCUUAGUGAUCUGACGGUGCUGAGUGGAAAGGCCGUCACUCAACGGAUAAAAGUUACUCUAAGGAUAACAGGCUGAUCUCCCCCAAGAGUUCACAUCGACGGGGAGGUUUGGCACCUCGAUGUCGGCUCAUCGCAUCCUGGGGCGGUAGUACGUCCCAAGGGUUGGGCUGUUCGCCCAUGAAAGCGGUACGCGAGCUGGGUUCAGAACGUCGUGAGACAGUUCGGUCCAUAUCCGGUGUAGGCGUUAGAAUAUUGAGAGGAGCCUUCUUUAGUACGAGAGGACCGAGAAGGACAUACCUCUGGUGUACCAGUUAUCGUGCCAACGGUAAACGCUGGGUAGCUAUGUAUGGAGAGGAUAACCGCUGAAAGCAUCUAAGUGGGAAGCCCACCUCAAGAUGAGUAUUC